rnacentral:rRNA from 1 species
GUCCUCGGCCAUACCACCCUGAACACACCAAUCUUCUCUGAUCUCAGAAGUUAAGCUGGGUUGGGCCCGGUUAGUGUUUGAAUGGCAGGUGAUCACA